CGCCGUAGCAACAGCCUGGUAAACAUAAACACGGAGGAGUUGGCCGGCGGAGCGAGGAAAGGAGGUCAGCGCCCGACCCGAGAGUUUUACUUACAGAGUUAAUAAUGAACGAAAGUUUUGUGGAAACGGCCGGCAGGUGAGAGCGCUACCUGCCAUGACAUCAGCCAAGAAAAACUCAAACAGUCGGACCAGUUGGGGCAGCACACGUGAGAAAUGGUGACAAAGUAUUUAUUGUUCUCCUGCAGACUGAACCUUUGACCCAGUUCACUUUAUUCGCCGUCAGCUGGGAUUUUCACCGGAAGCACCUGGUGAGGUCAGCAGCAGGUGAACCAGCUGGACCUCAGAGGGAAACAUCCACAGGCUCGUUCCCUGCAGCAGCCAAUGACGUCGCCUUCAUCCUUUCCGGGAAGCGGAGCCGUUCGUCCCGUUGCCGGGUUACCGGGAAGGCUCGCCUCAUCAUCAUCAUCAGCUUUCAUUUCAUUAGCGGAGCGUUUCCAGCAGAACACGGCCGGUCCGAUUCCCAGCCGGACCGGACUGGGCCGAAGGCGGGAUCCGACCCGGAAUCAGCCUGGAGGAAAACCUCAGCUAAAACUGACUUUACCCAGUUCAUCUGACCCCAGGGUCAAAGGUCACAUUUAUUCA